AGGGUUUGAUCAUGGCUCAGAUUGAACGCUGGCGGCAGGCCUAACACAUGCAAGUCGAGCGGUAGAGAGGAGCUUGCUCCUCUUGAGAGCGGCGGACGGGUGAGUAAUGCCUAGGAAUCUGCCUGGUAGUGGGGGAUAACGUUCGGAAACGGACGCUAAUACCGCAUACGUCCUACGGGAGAAAGCAGGGGACCUUCGGGCCUUGCGCUAUCAGAUGAGCCUAGGUCGGAUUAGCUAGUUGGUGAGGUAAUGGCUCACCAAGGCGACGAUCCGUAACUGGUCUGAGAGGAUGAUCAGUCACACUGGAACUGAGACACGGUCCAGACUCCUACGGGAGGCAGCAGUGGGGAAUAUUGGACAAUGGGCGAAAGCCUGAUCCAGCCAUGCCGCGUGUGUGAAGAAGGUCUUCGGAUUGUAAAGCACUUUAAGUUGGGAGGAAGGGCAGUAAAUUAAUACUUUGCUGUUUUGACGUUACCGACAGAAUAAGCACCGGCUAACUCUGUGCCAGCAGCCGCGGUAAUACAGAGGGUGCAAGCGUUAAUCGGAAUUACUGGGCGUAAAGCGCGCGUAGGUGGUUUGUUAAGUUGGAUGUGAAAUCCCCGGGCUCAACCUGGGAACUGCAUUCAAAACUGACUGACUAGAGUAUGGUAGAGGGUGGUGGAAUUUCCUGUGUAGCGGUGAAAUGCGUAGAUAUAGGAAGGAACACCAGUGGCGAAGGCGACCACCUGGACUAAUACUGACACUGAGGUGCGAAAGCGUGGGGAGCAAACAGGAUUAGAUACCCUGGUAGUCCACGCCGUAAACGAUGUCAACUAGCCGUUGGAAGCCUUGAGCUUUUAGUGGCGCAGCUAACGCAUUAAGUUGACCGCCUGGGGAGUACGGCCGCAAGG
rnacentral:rRNA from 1 species